GGAGGGCUGUCCGAGCGGCCGAUGGAGCCAGUCUUGAAAACUGGUGAUGCGCAAGCAUUCGUGGGUUCGAAUCCCACGCCCUCCGCCA
rnacentral:tRNA from 1 species